rnacentral:misc_RNA from 1 species
AGAGAGAGAGAGAGAGACUAUUUUGAUAUAGAAUUAUGUUUUUCCCUAUUCUUUCUUAUUUGUUUGUUUGUUUCUCUCUCGUGAGGUUUAAAACUGGUCACCAAAUCUUUCAACUAAUAACUAGUAUCUAAUUCAUGCUGUAGAAAACUAAAAACUAAAUAUUCAAAAUUUCCCUCAAGUCUGAUUGACUCCCCAGCAAUUGCAUUAAUGAAUGCUCUGGAAACACCACAAUAUGCAAAAGGAAAUUGCACAAAUAUUCCUAUGUGAUACUACAAUAAUCAUGCUAAGAUGUGAUGUCACUUUCCAAACAAAAUUUCAACAUAUUAUAGAUUUAGCGGAUAAAUCUCUCUGACCAUAUAUUUUGCUCCUUUAAAACGCAGGACCUGUGAGAGUUCAGAAUUGUAAAGAUGCAAAGCAACCGAUACCAACCUUUAAAGUACAAGCAAAGAAGUCUAGCAUGCCAUGUUGUCUUUUUCGUAUAACCUGUAACUCCAGUUGCAAUUAGCAGACUCCUUCAAUACAAGUUUCCAUAGUUUUUGGGUAACUUUAAUUCCAUUUAAAUUCAUUGAUCAGUGUUCAUUAUUAGGUUAGCAUUCAUUUAACUUUCAACUUUAGAGGAUUAGAUUUAUUUGGCAAUUAGUAAUUUUAUUGCUGGUACUCCAAUCAUUUCCACUAAAAUCUAGCAACAAAAUAGGAUUAAAACCAAGUAGCUUCCAUGAAGGGAGAGUCCAUUUAUCAUCUUGAUCGAACAUUUACAUAUCUUCAACUUGAAACUCCA